rnacentral:lncRNA from 1 species
UUUUUUUUUUUUUUAAUUAGAAAUCUAAAAUCAAGUACCCUAAAGCAGAACUUCUUUGUAACUGAGAGUUACUUUGCAGAAUUUAGUCUAGGUUGUUUGCCAUAUCUAUUCAUUAGCCUGUCUACCCUGACAAUCUUUAUGCUAACAGUGGGGACAAAUGCAGUGGCAAUUCAAUAGAACUAUUAUCCAUGUGCCUUGUGAUUCAGGACAACAGAAAUUUAAAUAUUAAAUAUAAAUAUUUGAGAUUAUUUCAUGUAAUUGGCUUGCUUAUAGGAUUUUUCACUUGUCUGUGAUGUCUCUGGGGGAUGUUGAAGUCACAAACAAAUAUGCUUUCAUCUUUCUGCUGAAAAUGUGAAUUUACAUCUUAACUGGCUCAUUGGUUCAUUUUAGCAAACUCCGAUUUGAGGGGUAUCUAUCUUGCAAUUUUAAAAUAUACACAACUAAACUUCCAUCUUUGCCCUAGAGAGAAGCCGGUUUAAAUACAAAGAUAGAAAACCCUAAUCCUGCAGAACAUGCACAUUUAAAAACUCCACCUUUUCCCCAAGCAGUAUUGCAGUGUGUAACAGGUAAUACUGCUUUACUAAAAUGUGCCUGUUUAAGCCAUUUGACUAUAAUAAAUUACUAAGUUUCUAAGACAAUCACAAAAAGCUAAGCCGGUAUUAAUGUUUGUGGGUCUGUUCAAAUAUACACCGCCGUUCUGCAGCGAUAUUUGUAAUGCCACAUCUUGUCCAAAUAUGUUGUUGUCUCUGACAAGGUUAGCAACAUGUAGAUGAAUACAAAUCCUUUCUAUAAAAAAAUUGCAAUGCAUUUUACAUAUCUUAAGAGGGCUACACCAGUUUUCAUUAUAUUUUACAGAUAUUAGCACUUUUUAAAGAAUGUACUUUUAAUAUUAGAGGGUCAAAAUAAUCUUUCUGCUUAGCAUCUCUCACCCGCAGCUAUAGCAGGGGUAUUAUAUUUACUUUAAUACCUGUAUAAACUAUGCAGAAAUUUUUAAAUAAAGUGUAAUAUAUUUUAUAAGCUAAUAAGACUGAAUGGGUAAUUAAAGGUUUCUAGCGUGCGUUACUAUAACUUGCAAAUACGGAGACAUUUUGUUAGUCUUUUCUUACUAAAGAUGUGAAUGUUUAACAUACUUUCACUGUUUCUACUUUGGUAGUCCAAUGGGAAUUCAGUAAUGACAUUUUGUCAUGUUGAACUGUGAACAUAAUUUGUACUGUACAGUCCUCAUGCUCUAUUUAGUAUACAGUGCAUAUGUAUUAUACUUGUUAAUAAAACCCUCAGUAUCAUUUGUGGUCCUGUCAUCAUGCGCUGUGCGACAGAGAGCCAUGGCACAGGGCAGGGUCACAGGGAUGCCCAGGCAUCCCUGCCUGCUCCAGGCAGUCCCCAGCUUUUCAGGUGGCCCUUCUGCAGCGUCGGUACACACCUCCCCUGGGUACUUGCCCCACACACCACCAAGGGCAGGAGCAGGCAGGACAGGAGCACAAGGCAUUGGAGGCUCUGCCUGUGAGCAAGUAACAAGCGAUAGAAGAGGUAAUGGCCUCAAGUUGCACCAGGGGAAGUUUAGAUUGCAUAUUAGGAAACAUUUCUUCACCAAAAGGGUGAUCAGGCAUUAGAACAGGCUGCCCAGGGAAGUGGUGGAAUCACCGUCUCUGGAAGUGUUCACAAACCGUGUAGAUGAGGCCUCAGUGACAUGGCUUAGUGGUGGACUUCGCAGUCCUAGGGUAACGGUUGGACUUGAUCUUACAUGUCUUCUCCAGCCUAGUUGAUUCUAUCAUUCUAGCUCCUGUGCCCAGCAGCGCACUUAGUGGUGAACUCACAAAAGUAGUAGUUUACUUGCUUCUAAUUAGAGCAUUCUGAUCAGCCCAUUGGCAGGGCUGGAGCACCAAACCCGUAAGUCUGCAUUUUUUAUCACUUGCAAAGCAGGGCCUGCUCCUUCCGCCAUGCUCUUCCCCACAGCGCUUGCACGGGCCAGGGUGCCGGAGCAGACACAGGCUGCCAACACAUCAAUGCACACGAAUACUGCUCACCUUCAGGCACCCCUAUGGGCUUUGCUGAGAGACGAUAAUGUGGAGAGCUGGCAAAACAAGUUCAUUUAUUUCUUCACACCUUUCCAGCUGCCUAAAAGGAGUGAGCCCAGCUGAAUUUGCUAUGCAUCUCUUCACACUUUCUGUUCCUGCAUCAGAAUGUUGGUCUGUUGCUGCCUGGGACCCAGCAGAUCAACCCAGUCAGCACCUAGGCUCAGAAGGGAAAGCAGGUACAGCAGAAAUGAGGCAAUAAAAAUAAAACCCUGCAAACAGCAAUCAGAAUGUGAGAAAAUGGCUGGCUUGAAUUUCUUGGCAUCCUGCUUGAAAAUAAGGAUUGCUUGUGGUAAAGCAAGAGUCAGCGUUCACAUCAUGCCAUUGAUUUCUAAAGUUCAUUUGCUGGCGAACCAGUCAGUAUCUGCGCUCCAGAGCAUACUCGGCC